rnacentral:rRNA from 1 species
AACGAACGCUGGCGGCAGGCUUAACACAUGCAAGUCGAGCGCAUCCUUCGGGGUGAGCGGCGGACGGGUUAGUAACGCGUGGGAACGUGCCCUUUGCUCUGGAAUAGCCCUGGGAAACUGGGGGUAAUACCGGAUGUGCCCUGAGGGGGAAAGGUUUACCGGCAAGGGAUCGGCCCGCGUCUGAUUAGGUAGUUGGUGGGUAACGGCUCACCAAGCCGACGAUCGGUAGCUGGUUUGAGAGGAUGAUCAGCAACACUGGGACUGAGACACGGCCCAGACUCCUACGGGAGGCAGCAGUGGGGAAGUCUUGGACAAUGGGGGCGAACCCUCGAUCCAGCCAUGCCGCGUGGUGAUGAA